ensembl:lncRNA novel transcript
AGGUAUGGCUGAGGUCCAGCACACGUCCUCCAAAUUCACAGUGUUCACUCAACCAGUACUGCUUCCCUUCUUAUCCAAUGCAAUGAUUGAUUCCAUUUAAGUCAAAGAAAAGCAAGAGGGACCAUAACAUACAUUGAUUUGCCUAGAAAUAUCCUACCAUACAGUUUUUUGUUUUACAUUUGUGAGCUUAUAUAAAAGUUAGAAAUGACCUAGGGAAAAUGUAUUAACCCUACUGUACAGAAGAGGAAACUAAAACUCAGAGAGGUUAAGCCUCACACCCAGUAGGUAGUGAAGCCAAAAUUAUACACCUGACUCCCAAACAUCUACUGCCAUUGUAAUACACUGCCUCCUGCAAGGCUAAAGUAGCCAGCCCAGCUAACCAUCAGGAGCCUAUUUGCUCUAACUCACAUUUACAGAAUGCACUUGGUAAAUAGGAGUUCAAUAACUGUUUGUUGAAGAAAGAAAAGAACUAUGGUGGGUCAGAUGAGAGACAAAAAUCACUCUGCAGAGAUACAGCAUGCAGGAGACCACCUCUGAGACUGAGGCAAGAGUGUGCCUGAAAUGCCAGGGGUUCGAUCUAGGUCCUGCUGUUCCCUGACACAGAAAGCCAAUGACUGACACAAUGAGUAUUGCCAAAGAAGAAGGCUUUCAUCGAGUGCUGCAGCCAAGGAAAUGGAAGAUCAGUUUCAAAUCCAUCUCCCUGAACAACUAAAAAUAGAGGUUUCUACAGCAGGGAAGAAAUGUGACUAUGCAUGGGAAAACAGGAAUUAGGGAGGGGUCAUGAGGCAAUCAUGAUGAAUGAGGGGUCUGACAUCCCAUUGGCUGGAUGUGGUUACAUGAUGAGUUUCUGUUCUUUGACACUUUUUGAAAGGCCUGAGGGCCCUUUCCUUACAAAGAAACUCAGAUAAAACCAAUGUGAGUUUCAAGCUUUAAGACCAGAAGAGUCCAUUUCUAUGUUACUAUAGGAAAAGAAAAAAACUGCCUAUGGGACUAUUGGGUUGGUUUCAAGAGGUUAUCUGAAAGGCAAGGCGGCCUCCAUAACUGCUUAUUUUCUUUUCUUUUGAAACUGUCAUUGUCUUCCCAACAUCUAGGCUUAUGAUCAUAUGGGUAAGCUUAGAUCAUACAUUCUGUCUACUCUACCCAGACCAGAAUCAUACAAUCAAAGACAUACAGAGUCAACUAGGUAAUAUAAGUGAGCAGAGUUGGACUGGAGUAAGGUCCAUGGAGGACUGCAACUAAACGGGUACAUCUUGUCUGGAGUUGGACUAAAUCAUUGUGAAGCUUUAAGUCAGAUUUUCUUAGUGUGUUAUUUAUACACCCUCCUGGCAUAUGAGUGACAGGAAAGUCAAAGUCAUUGACUCUCUAAUAUUUAUUGAGCACCUUCAAAUACUUUUUGAGUAUCUACUAUUAUUGGGCACCUACAAACACUUAUUGACCAUGUGCCAAGCACAGUGCCUAGCAAGUUCUUCUUUUCUAAUCAAAUCAACAGGUUGGACAUCCCUACCCAAGGCUCAAAUGGUAACAGGUCCAUGCCUUACUUGUGUCAGUUCUCUUAUUGAAAGAGCAUCUCCUAACCAUCCUACCAAUAAGGUAAAGGUGUUAUUUUGAAUCUGAAUCAAAAUGAACCUUCUCCAUAAAUCUCUUCCUCACUAGCUGGCCCAUACCUUAUUACCUUUUCUGGGUCCUUCCCUUAAUAAUUAGCACUGAGCUCACAAUUAUUGCUUUUUCUCUUAACAUGUUGCUUUGUAAUUGUCUCCAAGAUCCCCUCCUAUUUUUAUAUAUCCAAUUUACUAAAUCAUUCCUAUUUCUUCAGCAGCCCUGAAUGCAGCGCACUGUGAUUCAAUAAAUGUUUGUUAAUGAAGGGAACUACAAGCUGGUUGGGAAUCAAAUCUUUUCCCGUGGGAGUUACCAGGGAUAAAGUCAGUCAGACCCUUCUAUGGCCUGAGAAGUGCUGGGAGUAGCUUCCUUUAGAAGUUCAAUAAAAACAAGUCUCU